CUGCGCUCUCACGCCCUCUUGGUGCUUCCGCGGUACGAGUGAGCGCCGUGGAGGCUGCAGGGAGGCCAGGGGGCCGGGCUGCUCUCCUGGGGCUCAGUCUCACUUCAUGCCUGCGACAUCU